rnacentral:rRNA from 1 species
UACAGAGGAUGCAAGCGUUAUCCGGAAUGAUUGGGCGUAAAGGGCGCGUAGGCGGUGAGAUGCGUCUGUUGUGAAAUCGCUCGACUCAACUGGGCGGGGUCAGCGGAUACGGUCUCACUUGAGCAAGCUAGGGGGCAAUGGAAUUCCCGGUGUAGUGGUGGAAUGCGUAGAUAUGUGGAGGAAUACCGAUGGCGAAGGCAGCCCCCUGGGAUAACACUGACGCUCAUGCACGAAAGCGUGGGGAGCAAACAGG